UAAACAUAAAUGACCAUAAAUGAAAUUCUUACUGACACGUACCAAACUACUUUUGUUGGUCAAUCAAUGCGUGUGUUUGUUCUUUUUUGGUUUAGAAGAAAUCAAUCCAUAUGCUUUCCGUCUUGACUCUGAUA